rnacentral:rRNA from 1 species
CCUACGGGGGGCAGCAGUAGGGAAUCUUUCACAAUGGGCGAAAGCCUGAUGGAGCAACGCCGCGUGCAGGAUGAAGGCCUUCGGGUUGUAAACUGCUUUUAUAAGCGAGAAAGAUGAUGGUAACUUAUGAAUAAGGAUCGGCUAACUACGUGCCAGCAGCCGCGGUCAUACGUAGGAUCCGAGCAUUAUCCGGAGUGAAUGGGUGUAAAGAGUUGCGUAGGUGGCAUAAUAAGUAGCUAGUGAAAUCUGGUGGCUCAACCAUUCAGACUAUUAGCUAAACUGUUAAGCUCGAGACCGUUAGGGGUAACUGGAAUUUCUAGUGUAGGAGUGAAAUCCGUAGAUAUUAGAAGGAACACCAAUCGCGUAGGCAGGUUGCUGGGACGGUUCUGACACUAAGGCACGAAAGCGUAGGGAGCAAACGGGAUUAGAUACCCGAGUAGUC